rnacentral:snRNA from 1 species
GUGCUCGUUUCGGCAGCACAUGUACUAAAAUUGGAACGAUACAGAGAAGAUUAGCAUGGCCCCUGCACAAGGAUGACAUGCAAAUUCAUGAAGCGUUCCAUAUUUUU